UGAGGAAUAUUGGUCAAUGGACGCAAGUCUGAACCAGCCAUGCCGCGUGCAGGAUGACGGUCCUAUGGAUUGUAAACUGCUUUUGUACGAGAAGAAACACUCCUUCGUGAAGGAGCUUGACGGUAUCGUAAGAAUAAGGAUCGGCUAACUCCGUGCCAUCAGCCGCGGUAAUACGGAGGAUCCAAGCGUUAUCCGGAAUCAUUGGGUUUAAAGGGUCCGUAGGCGGUUUAGUAAGUCAGUGGUGAAAGCCCAUCGCUCAACGGUGGAACGGCCAUUGAUACUGCUAGACUUGAAUUAUUAGGAAGUAACUAGAAUAUGUAGUGUAGCGGUGAAAUGCUUAGAGAUUACAUGGAAUACCAAUUGCGAAGGCAGGUUAUUACUAAUGUAUUGACGCUGAUGGACGAAAGCGUGGGGAGCGAACAG
rnacentral:rRNA from 1 species